rnacentral:rRNA from 1 species
AGAACGAACGCUGGCGGCAUGCCUAAUACAUGCAAGUCGAACGAACACUUCGGUGUUAGUGGCGCACGGGUGCGUAACGCGUGGGAAUCUGCCCUUGGGUUCGGAAUAACAGUUGGAAACGACUGCUAAUACCGGAUGAUAUCGAAAGAUCAAAGAUUUAUCGCCCAGGGAUGAGCCCGCGUAGGAUUAGCUAGUUGGUGAGGUAAGGCUCACCAAGGCGACGAUCCUUAGCUGGUCUGAGAGGAUGAUCAGCCACACUGGACUGAGACACGCCCAGACUCCUAGGGAGGCAGCAGUGGGGAAUAGUUGCACAAUGGGCGCAAGCCUGGAUGCAGCAACGCCGCGUAGGAGGGACGACGGCCGUUCGGGUUACGUAAACCUUCGUUUUAACGGAGGGUAGAAGACGAAAGUGACGGUACC